rnacentral:tRNA from 1 species
CCCCGCUCAGUUGAUAGAGCAUGAUGUUUGCAACGCCAGAGUUGUGGGUUCGAUUCCCACGGGGG